GACGUAGGGUCCAAGCGUUGUCCGGAUUUACUGGGCGUAAAGAGCGCGUAGGCGGUCUGUUAAGUGAGAAGUGAAAUCUCCAGGGCUCAACCCGGAAACUGCUUUUCAUACUGGCAGACUUGAGGGAUGCAGAGGUGAAUGGAAUUCCUGGUGUAGCGGUGAAAUUCGUAGAUAUCGGGAGGAACACCGGUGGCGAAGGCGGCGAUCUGGGUCGAUACUGACGCUGAGGUGCGAAAGCGUGGGGAGCAAACAGG
rnacentral:rRNA from 1 species